rnacentral:lncRNA from 1 species
UGAAAUGGUGAUUCUCCCUAUUUAGAAAAUCAUGAUUCUCUCUUAUUAGACAAUGGAAACAUGUUUCUUCGACAUUUCUCCAUCUGUGCUGGUCUCCUGGGCAUCUUCUUCAUUCUGGUUUUCGUUUUCUUUUGUAAGCUCCACUGUGGCAGAAUUUGUUAUUAACCCAAAAUCCCUGAGACUGCUCCCACACACAACGUGCAGGAUAGUAAUGAGCAGCAGGAAUUUGAGCCCUACGCCAGCUAUUUGCAGAAGGAAAAUGUGAUCUACAACACAGUGUAUGAAGUAACAGUGAGUGAAGACCUCCAACUAGGGCUCCAGUCAGCAACAUGAGAAUCCACCUGGGCCCAACUCACCACCUGUGUUAAGAAGGGGAACAGGUUGCAGGGAAGAUUAAUGAUACUUGAUUCCUUCCAGAAGAGGAUCUC